GUGAGGAAUUUUCCGCAAUGGGCGAAAGCCUGACGGAGCAAUGCCGCGUGAAGGAUGAAGGCCUAUGGGUUGUAAACUUCUUUUCUCAGAAAAGAAUUAUGACGGUAUCUGAGGAAUAAGCAUCGGCUAACUCUGUGCCAGCAGCCGCGGUAAGACAGAGGAUGCAAGCGUUAUCCGGAAUGAUUGGGCGUAAAGCGUCUGUAGGUUGUUUAAAAAGUAUUCUGUCAAAGAUUAGGGCUUAACCCUAGAUAGGCAGAAUAAACUUUUAAGCUAGAGUUUGGUAGAGGCAGAGGGAAUUCCCGGUGGAGCGGUGAAAUGCGUGGAUAUCGGGAGGAACACCAAAGGCGAAGGCACUCUGCUGGGCCAAUACUAACACUGAGAGACGAAAGCGAGGGGAGCAAAUGGGAUUAGAAACCCGGGUAGUCC
rnacentral:rRNA from 1 species